GUUUGAUCCUGGCUCAGAACGAACGCUGGCGGCAUGCCUAACACAUGCAAGUCGAACGCUUCCGGGGCUUCGGUCGCGGAGGAGUGGCGCACGGGUGAGUAGCGCGUGGGAACCUGCCCUGUUGUGGGGGAUAACCGAGGGAAACUUCGGCUAAUACCGCUUACGCCCCAGGACUUGGUCUUCGGAUUAGGUCUGGGGGGAAAGAUUGAUCUCAGCAAGAGGGGCCCGCCUCGGAUUACCUGGUUGGUGGGGUAACGGCUCACCAAUGCGAUGAUCCGUAGCUGGUCUGAGAGGAUGAUCAUCCACACUGGGACUGAGACACAGCCCAGACUCCUACGGGAGGCAUCAGUGGGGAAUAUUGGACAAUGGGGGCAACCCUGAUCCAUCAAUGCCUCGUGAGUGAUGAAGGACUUAGGGUUGUAAAGCUCUUUCACCCGCGACGAUGAUGACGGUAGCGGGAGAAGAAGCCCCGGCUAACUUCGUGCCAGCCGCCGCCGUAAUACGAAGGGGGCGAGCGUUGUUCUGAUUUACUGGGCGUAAAGGGCGCGU
rnacentral:rRNA from 1 species